GAAACAACACCAUAAAAUCAUAAUAUUAGAAUAAAAGUAAUAAGGGAUUGAUUUUCUAUAAAACGCGUCUAAACUGAAAGUUGAAAUAGUUAACAUAAAAAAUAUGGAAGUGUAUCUGGUAUUUUCAAUAUUGUAUAUAAGACAGAUAACGAAUAUUUGUAAUACAUUUAGUUGCUUCUUUGUCGUUGUAAGUUAGCGCGAUCUACGUACAAACUGAAAGUAGUCUUCACUUGAACUGGACAUAUACGUACAGAAAUAUUUGAUUAACAUGGAAAUAUCUGUCUCCUAUACAACAUUUGUUUUAUUAACAGAACAAAAGAAGCUGUAAUCAUGUAUCUGUGUAAACUCUAUAAUUUAAGUAUGAACAUUCAAGCUGAUUUGGUGAAAUCUGAUGUGUUGAAUGCAUUUAGUGUGUUUGUCGACUUGGAACAUACUGAGGAAAUAUUUGUGUAUGAAGACGGAUAUCGGAAGAAACUUCUAAAACUGAAAGGAACUGUACCUGUCCACUUUGCAGGUUCGGAGUACAAUGUCCCAAUUUCUAUAUGGCUAAGCAAACGACAUCCAUUUAGACGACCCAUAGUGUAUGUAACACCUACCUCUCGGAUGCAUGUCAUGUCUGGUAAUUUCGUUGACUUGAAUGGGAAAGUUAAUAUACCAUACCUUACUGACUGGAAUUACCCCAGCUCCGAUCUGCUGAGUUUGAUUCAAAUUAUGACAACUGUAUUCUCGGAUUAACUUCCCGUGCGCGGUAAAUCUUUAUCCAAAUCUUGCAAUUGUGAUAUGUCACAGAGUGCACGUGCUGCUUUAAAUCCAGAAGGCCCAGAAAGUGAAGGACGUGUGCACAGUGCUGGAACGGAACAUGGAAGAAACAGUCCAGGAGUUUCAUCUGAUGAUAUAGCUUCGUUUGACCUCGCCGGUGAAGUACAUGGUAGAUUAAGCUCACGUGAUCCAAACAGAUCCACGCAGAAGAUUGAUACUUCCUCACGAUGAUGCCUAGAUAUUAUAGAUGAAGCUAUUGCUAUGAGGCUAUUUUCCGACAAAAAACUGCAGCAAGUACCAGAUGAUUGUAACAUAGGACCUAAAUUUAUAAUAUGUUUAAAAUUCCUGUUGUAAUGUACGGACAUCAACUAAUAAUAAUGCAUUGAUUUAAAUAUUAUAAGCAUAUUGGUAAUUGAGAAACAAUAAAUAUGUCCCUUUAUUUUAUCAGUUAAUAAAAUAUUGGCAUGAGCUCGAAUGCGUAAUAAUUAAAUCACGAAUGCGUAGCACGAGUGAAGUCAUUAUUUACAUUCAAGCGUUUGAUACAAUUGUUCAUGGACAAUCGGAGUGGUAUAAAUCUUAUUUAUCAGGUUAUAAUAGGUUACAAAUGUUAAUAAUACAUUGUUUGCAUUCCAUGUGGCGUUCUUCAGGGAAGAAUACUAGAACCUAGCUACAUGCGUGUUAUGUUGAUGUAUGAGUAUAAUUAUGUAUAAUUCUAACAUGACUUGAUUUGAUUUCCAGUUAAACAAAGAAGGAUAUCAAGCUCUGCAUAUUCUGCGAUAAACAACGGUUGACGCGCGUACCGGUAAGAGUGCAGUAUGACGUCAAUUAUGACGUCAAAUUGCCGCAUAACGUCCGAUACAUUACUCCUCGGGUAAAUGAAAUCCAGCAUACAAUCUAAUAAAUAUGUCAAUGAGCAUGUCAGAAUGAAAACAAUCAAGGCCUUCUUGUGAUUUAUCGUCUAAUUUACCAAAGUUCAUCGUUCAGAUGCUUCGGUAUUCAGAUGCCCUCGUGGUUCAAUUCCUACGCAUCUGAACUCUGACCCGUGGUAAAUCAGACGAUAAACCACUCGAAUGCUUUGAUUAUUUGUUAAGUGAAAACUGUUUCUCAGUUUCAUAUGCAGAUCAUAAUUAUGCAUGCCAUUAUGCUGUCUUUUUUCUCAUGAAACGAUCCUAAAACCAUUAUCAAUGUUCUUGAAUAUGAAUUUGUAAGUUGUUAUAUAGGUAAUGGGUUGUCGAAAAUAAAUCUUUACCUCUUUGUUAAACUGAAUGUAUUUUGUUUUAUUCUAUGAGGAAAAUAAUAAAUUUCCAUGUUGCAACUUUAUUGUACACCGUUAUGAACACACCAUAAUUAUAUUAUCAAAAUUAUGUUAAAUCUAUUGGAAGUGUAUUGGAUAAUGAUCUGUCUGCUACGUCUAUAUUUUGAUAACAUUAUCUAAAAGGUUAAUGCUAGGCUGAAGGUUUUGUACAGGGAACAUAUUUUAAUAUAAACUUAACAGAAAUGCUUUAUCACUUUUAUGGCAAAAACAUUGUGACUAAGUAUCCAAGUCCUGGUAAAACGAUCUCUGAAAACAACAAACGAACAAAUAUAUUAUGGGGUACUAGAACCUGUUAUGGGGUACUAGAACCUGAUUUAUGAAAUGCAGAUGCGACAGAAUUAUACCAAGAUGGCGCAACUGAACGACAUACAAUGCUUUUAUUCAAGAACAAAUCACUGUUUGCGAUAUAUCAUUUCAAUUGUGACACAUACUGCCAAUGAUUAUGUACAUCUUGAAGAUAUCAACCAAUAUUAUAGUUUGGAUUAUACUUUCCUUAAUUAAUAUGUCAGUUUUUCAUCAGUUUCUUAAGUAUUUUAACAUUGUUCUGUGAUGUGUGUGCCAUUAAUUAUUUCCUUUUGUGAUAUUUUUCUUCCAUCUUAGUGUGAAUCUAACGUAACUCUCAUGGGAUUACAAUAUAAACCAGUGAGAAUUAUCUUUCUUUGUUUAAAUCUAAAUAGAAAACUUUACAGAGUACGCAAAACUUAAUGGAAUAUCAUGUCUUCUGAAUUUCUCGUAAUAGUAAAUUGCAUCAUAGGAUUUUUACAGAAUUUAGAUUUUUACAGAAUUUUA